UACAGAGGGUGCAAACGUUGCUCGGAAUUACUGGGCGUAAAGCGCGUGUAGGCGGGAAGAUAAGUCGGGUGUGAAAUCCCUGGGCUCAACCUAGGAACUGCAUCCGAAACUGCCUUUCUGGAGUGAUGGAGAGGAGAGCGGAAUUCCCGGUGUAGAGGUGAAAUUCGUAGAUAUCGGGAGGAACACCAGUGGCGAAGGCGGCUCUCUGGCCAUCAACUGACGCUGAGACGCGAAAGCGUGGGGAGCAAACAGG
rnacentral:rRNA from 1 species